rnacentral:misc_RNA from 1 species
GAUGAAGAACGUAGCGAAAUGCGAUACUUGGUGUGAAUUGCAGAAUCCCGUGAACCAUCGAGUUUUUGAACGUAAGUUGCGCCCGAAGCCGUUAGGCCGAGGGCACGUCUGCCUGGGCGUCACAUAUCGUUGCCUGAUGCCAGUUUCCUCGUGAUGGGUGACUGUGCAGGGCGAAUGAUGGCUUCCCGUGAGCAUUGUUGCCUCAUGGUUGGUUGAAAAUUGAGUCCUUGGUAGGGAGCGCCGUGAUAGAUGGUGGUUGAGUGACGAACGAGACCCAAUCAUGUGAGACCCCUACCGAAUUUGGCCUUCAUGACCCACAUGCGUCUUUGGAACGCUCAUGACGAGACCUCAGGUCAGGCGGGGCUACCCGCUGAGUUUAAGCAUAUCAAUAAGCGGAGGA